UUUGAUGUAUUAGGAUUAUAACUAUGUUAAAUUAUAGAUAACAAUAAUACAAUAAGAAUAAGAUCUAUCAGUUAGUUGUUAAGGUAAUGGCUUAACAAGACUAUGACGGAUAACGGUAUUACUUUGUAAUAUUCCGGAGAAGGAGCCUGAGAGAUUGCUACUAAGUCUAAGGAUUGCAGCAGGGGCGAAACUUGACCUAUGAUAUGAUAUUGAGGCAGUUAUGAGUAGUAUUUUU
rnacentral:rRNA from 1 species